CGAAAGCCUGACGGAGCAAUACCGCGUGCGGGAGGAAGGCCCUUGGGUCGUAAACCGCUUUUCUUAGGGAAGAAACCUGACGGUACCUAAGGAAUAAGCCUCGGCUAACUCCGUGCCAGCAGCCGCGGUAAUACGGAGGAGGCAAGCGUUAUCCGGAAUUAUUGGGCGUAAAGAGUCCGUAGGUGGUUUCACAAGUCUACUGUCAAAGCCCGCAGCUUAACUGCGGAGAGGCGGUGGAAACUGUGAGACUAGAGUGUGAUAGGGGUAGAGGGAAUUCCCAGUGUAGCGGUGAAAUGCGUAGAUAUUGGGAAGAACACCGGUGGCGAAAGCGCUCUACUGGAUCAUAACUGACACUGAGGGACGAAAGCCAAGGUAGCG
rnacentral:rRNA from 1 species